rnacentral:rRNA from 1 species
UACGUAGGUGGCAAGCGUUGUUCGGAAUUAUUGGGCGUAAAGGGCGCGUAGGCGGUUUGUUAAGUCGGUCGUGAAAGCCCGGGGCUCAACCCCGGAGGGUCGACCGAUACUGGCAGACUAGAGUACAGAAGAGGUAACUGGAAUUCCCGGUGUGGCGGUGAAAUGCGUAGAUAUCGGGAGGAACACCAGAGGCGAAGGCGGGUUACUGGGCUGAUACUGACGCUGAUGCGCGAAAGCUAGGGGAGCAAACGGG